rnacentral:rRNA from 1 species
CACGUAGGGGGCGAGCGUUGUCCGGAUUUAUUGGGCGUAAAGAGCUCGUAGGCGGUUUGGCAAGUCGGGUGUGAAAUUUCGAGGCUCAACCUCGAAACGCCACUCGAUACUGCCAUGACUGGAGUCCGGUAGAGGAGUGCGGAAUUCCUGGUGUAGCGGUGAAAUGCGCAGAUAUCAGGAGGAACACCAACGGCGAAGGCAGCACUCUGGGCCGGUACUGACGCUGAGGAGCGAAAGCGUGGGGAGCAGACAGG